rnacentral:lncRNA from 1 species
AGGGAAACAGAGCCAGGCCUUGUGGGGGGCCAGGACUGACAACUGGCUCACCUGGGAAGGCACCUACUCCAGGGAAAGGGGCGGUGUUGAUUCUGCUUGGGCAGCCCCAAGCAAAGGUGUAUGUGUUGCCAAAAGGUCGGGGGAGCUGUUUUGGUUAAACCCAAGCCCUCUGUGUCUGCCUUACAGGGGUUUUUCUUGAUUGAGGAGUAGGUUGAGAGUGGAUAGGGUUGGGCUCUCUACCGAGCAUGGGAGGGUGACAGAGUCAAGCCCCAUACCUUUAGGGUAGCCAGGUAAUUUAGCUCUGGGUCACGUGCUGCCUGUCCCUUCUCCAGGUGGAAAGCCAUGAAGUCAGUCCACAGGGGCAGCCUCCGGCCACUAUGGAGCUCUUUUUGGAUUGAAUAUUGAGUGGGUUGUUGAGGGGGUGUGGGGAAGACCACUCCCCUCCCCGGGUGGGGGGCGCGGCCUCAGCCGCCCCGCCCCGCCCCGCUCCACCAGGUCCGGCCAGGCUGGUGCCGGGAGCCCGGAGCCCGGAGCCCGGAGCCCGGAACGGGCUGGGGAUCGGCGUUCUCGCCCUUAGGAAGUGGGCGCGCUGGAGCAGGAGCUUGGCGGGAGCUGGAGCGGCGGUGCAGGUGGCGCUAGGUGAGUGGCAGGGCGGUGGGGGUGCAGGAACCCCCACCUCCCGCACAUCUUCACUCCGGAGCGAACUUUCUGAGUCUGGGCAAGCUGAAGGUUAGUGUGAGAAGGGGUAGGGGUCCCUGCUCCGUGGGACGCAGGCGAAGAGUCCCAACAGCAAAGCGACAUAGAAACCGACGGACCUAAACACACGCGUGUACACAGACUCACGCAUGCACUUGGGACACAUGAACACACGUGCGUUCCGAAAGGACGCACCCAGUUGGAUACCCUAGCAGUCCGAGCGAUCCGCGCCGACCCCAGCGGGCAGGGUGAUGCUAAUUUAGUCGUGGAUGGGGGAAAGGGGACUCCCCGUGACCGCCAGCGGGGGCGGGCAGGGUGGGACCCAUCCGGAGGUUCCUGCUUCCCAGCCGCCUCCCUGCAGGUGAUAACCAAGACGUAAACAGGCGCCGAGCACGUGAUUGCUCCGCAGAUUGGUGGGCUGUGCUCCCCCAACCCCACCACAGGACCGCGACCAGGCCAGGGAGUUUGCUUGGUCAGGUGUGGGGCUGAUUCCAUCUGCCUGGAGCGGUGAUAAGCCCUCUUCUAGAAAUAGGAGCACAACGCCCCCUGGAGCCAGGGUGGAUGGGAGGCCGAGAGACUAUUAGGCUGGAAGGCGUUAUUUACUUGGACUUCUCACCUUACAGUUCCGAAACACUUUGCUGAAGUCCGCGUCCCUGAGGGUAUCGGAGGGAGGCCCUUGAUGACAGUGGACAGCUGCCCCCGUCCCUUACCCCCAGCCCAAGGGGCAGCUGCCUGUGGGUCCCUUUCUACCACCACGUCCACCUUUUGCAGAUCUGGGAGCUCCUCCUCGCAGAAUAGGUACCGAGAGCCCACCCGUGCAAGAGUGGGAGCCUCCUAUCCCCACAGGGAAUGCUAGAGAGUAAAUGACCCCUCAAUACCCAAGGGGCCUACCCCCUCUAGUAAGAAGGAAGAGCCCCCACCCCCGCCCCCAGGGAAUGAAGGAGGGGGCUGCAAUCCUGCCUUCCUCCCCGCCCCACCCCCACCCCUCCACACG